rnacentral:rRNA from 1 species
UACGAAGGGUGCAAACGUUACUCGGAAUAAUUGGGCGUAAAGGGUGUGUAGGCGGUUUUUCAAGUCUGUUGUUUAAUUUCCUAGCCUAACUGGGAGUCAGCGACAGAUACUGUUAAGCUAGAGGAUGGAAGAGAGAAGUGGAAUUCUCGGAGUAGCGGUAAAAUGCGUAGAUCUCGAGAGGAACACCGAUGGCGAAGGCAGCUUCUUGGUCCAUUUCUGACGCUGAAACACGAAAGCGUGGGGAGCAAACAGG